rnacentral:misc_RNA from 1 species
CCGUCAAUUCAUUUAAGUUUCAACCUUGCGGCCGUACUUCCCAGGCGGAAUACUUAAUGCGUUAGCUGCGGCACCGGCGGUAACCCGCCAACGGCUAGCAUCCAUCGUUUACAGCGUGGACUACCAGGGUAUCUAAUCCUGUUUGCUCCCCACGCUUUCGCUCCUCAGCGUCAGUAUCGGCCCAGAGACCCGCCUUCGCCACCGGUGUUCCUCCUGAUAUCUGCGCAUUUCACCGCUACACCAGGAAUUCCAGUCUCCCCUGCCGAACUCCAGUGAUGCCCGUAUCGACCGCAAGCUCAGGGUUAAGCCCCAAGUUUUCACGACCGACGCGACACACCGCCUACGAGCUCUUUACGCCCAAUAAUUCCGGACAACGCUCGCACCCUACGUAUUACCGCGG